UACGAAGGGGGCUAGCGUUGCUCGGAAUGACUGGGCGUAAAGGGCGCGUAGGCGGAUGGCACAGUCAGAUGUGAAAUUCCCCGGGCUUAACCUGGGGGCUGCAUUUGAUACGUGUUGUCUUGAGUUCGGAAGAGGGUCGUGGAAUUCCCAGGUGUAGAGGUGAAAUUCGUGAGAUAUUGGGAAGAACACCGGUGGCGAAGGCGGCGAUCUGGGUCGAUACUGACGCUGAGGUGCGAAAGCGUGGGGAGCAAACAGGGAUUAAGAA
rnacentral:rRNA from 1 species